CACGUCCCCACAUUGUCAUUGGAGAAAUUAAAUAAGUAUAAAAAAAAAUAUUGAAUAAUAAUUUCCUGUCAAUAUACAUAGUAUGUCCUUAUUAUCUACAAAAUUUCAUGAAAUUCUGUUGUGUGUUUUAAGAGGAGUUGAGAUGACAAACUGUUGCAGAAGUACAUUGAAGCAAAUAAGUUCAAAGGGGCAUAACUCCUAGAAAAAAAAUUGAACCGUAAUUUCCUGUUGAUAUGCACAUCUACAUAGUAUGUCCUUAUUAUCUACAAAGUUUCAUGAAAUUCUGUUGUGUGGUUUGAGAGGAGUUGCGAUGACAAACUGUUGCAGUAGUACAUUAAAGUAAAUAAGUUCAAAGGGGCGUAACUCCUAGAAAAAAGAGGCAUAACUCCUAGAAAAAAAAAUUGAAACGCAAUUUCCCGUCGAUCUGCACAACUACAUAGUAUGUCCUUAUUAUCUGAAAAGGUUUCGUGAAAUUCUGUUGUGUGGUUUGAGAGGAGUUGCAAUGACAAACUGUUGCAGUAAUACAUUAAAGUAAAUAAGUUCAAAGGGGCGUAACUCCUAGAAAAAAAUUGAAUCGCAAUUUCCCGUCGAUAUGCACAACUACAUAGUAUGUCCUUAUUAUCUGAAAAGGUUUCGUGAAAUUCUGUUGUGUGGUUUGAGAGAAGUUGUGAUGACAAACUGUUGCAGUAGUACAUUAAAGUAAAUAAGUUCAAAGGGGUGUAACUCCUAGAAAAAAAAUUGAAUCGCAAUUUCCCGUUGAUAUAUACAGCUACAUAGUAUGUCCUUAUUAUCUGAAAAGGUUUCGUGAAAUUCUGUUGUGUGGUUUGAGAGGAGUUGAGAUGACAAACUGUUGCAGUAGUACAUUAAAGUAAAUAAGUUCAAAGGGGCGUAACUCCUAGAAAAAAAAUUGAAUCGCAAUUUCCCGUCGAUAUGCACAACUACAUAGUAUGUCCUUAUUAUAUGAAAAGGUUUCGUGAAAUUCUGUUGUGUGGUUUGAGAGGAGUUGCGAUGACAAACUGUUGCAGUAGUACAUUAAAGUAAAUAAGUUCAAAGGGGCGUAACUCCUAGAAAAAAAAUUGAAUCGCAAUUUCCUGUCGAUAUGCACAACUACAUAGUAUGUCCUUAUUAUCUGAAAAGGUUUCGUGAAAUUCUGUUGUGUGGUUUGAGAGGAGUUGCGAUGACAAGAAACAGGACUGACGGACUGACGGACGGACGGACGGACGGACGGACGGACGGACGGACGGACGGGUCAAAAACAUUAUACCCUGCGCAACUUCGUUGCGUGGGGUAUAAUUAUGAUUGUCUUAUU
rnacentral:lncRNA from 1 species